AUGGAAGACCUUGACGAUUCCAACUCAAAACCUGAUUCUGCCAGGAGGAGAAAAAUAGACAGCAAUAACAGCACUGAGAUGGUGGCGGAUACAGACGAUACGGACAAUCCACAACAUUCGGUGUCGAUCCCAGAUCAAACGGAGGAACCUCGCCAAGCCGAGGUGACCCCUGUAAAUAAUGGCAAGGCUAAACAACCUCAUUUAGAAGAGCCUCUUUUCCCGGGUAUAAUCUGUACAUUCAGGGAAAAUCUAGUACAAAUUUUCAAAAAUCAGUCGUAUUUAAUAUCGCAAAUGAUCAAAUAUAUUUUAAAUGUAGCUUUAAUCGCAUACCUAGCAGCAGCUGUUUAUCACUGGAAUAAAACAGUUUCAGAUAAACAUAUAAACUGGUGCAAUGGCUUAGGAAUACUUCUGAUCAUUGUAGGUUUACUUUAUUGGAUCUUAUUCUACUAUAAGUUCAUAGUUCCAUUCAUCUUUCCCGCCUUUGCACCAUAUAUUAAUUCAAUCUCAGAAACAAAAAUUUACAAAGCCGUAAGCAGGUAA
rnacentral:lncRNA from 1 species